rnacentral:rRNA from 1 species
UACGGGGGAUGCAAGCGUUAUCCGGAUUUAUUGGGUUUAAAGGGUGCGUAGGCUGUGAGGUAAGUCAGCGGUGAAAUGCCCCCGCUCAACGAGGUGAAGUGCCAUUGAUACUGCCUUGCUGGAAUGCGGAUGCCGUGGGAGGAAUGUGUGGUGUAGCGGUGAAAUGCAUAGAUAUCACACAGAACACCGAUUGCGAAGGCAUCUCACGAAUCCGCUAUUGACGCUGAUGCACGAAAGCGUGGGUAUCAAACAGG